GUAACCCCCCUGACUAUUGCCUGCCGUCCCAUCAGUAGCCCUUGUUAUAGGCUUCCUAGUAUCAACCAUCUUCAGCUCAGAUAACGGUGAGGCUUUAUGGUGCUCAAAGUAAGCCUUGUCGUCCUCUCCUUCUUGCUUGCCCUCCGGCGGCCACGGGGAGCCGUCCAAGCCUGCGCAGCUCACCGCCUCUGUUGACUGGGUAACGGGAGCAGGACUGCUACUGGUGGUGGAGGUGCAAUAGCGUUUUUGUUGGUUGAUGGGUUCUUGGGGUUGGUUCACGCCCGUGCUCUGUAUCUGAGGAGAUGAAGAAGGGUAACAGGGUGAUUUGGGGG
rnacentral:lncRNA from 1 species